ACAUGACGCCUGACAACAUUCGCUUCAAGCAAAUGAUCCGGCAAAUGAUCGACUCUAAAUGUCACAUAUUCAUCAAUCUUCAAACACAACCGAGACACACUGCGAUCAAGUGCAGGAAUCAGUACGACACGCGACUCACCUCAAUAGUGUCAUUGGACUCAGGCUCCUGGGCUUUAGUUUCUCAGACAAACCAAUACGAUGGAAGCUAUACAGUCAUUUCAAGCGCUGAAGGAUUCAUAAACCUCCAGCUCCUCUCUAGAGGAAAAAAACAAAAAUGAUCUGAUUCGAACUAAGACUUCUGGAGACAAAAGGUGAAAGUGUAUCCACUGGGCCAGAGUUUGGCAGUGUGUUCCUGGGGGGUGUGCACGUUGGUACAAAUCCAUUCUCGAUGAACAUGCCAGUCUUCAUCCGCAUCUGGAGGAUCCCACAGUCCCCAUCAACUCAUGCUGAGCUAAAGUUUUAUACGAGGACUGGAGGAGCAUGCCUGGGACCUGUUGGAUUGGAGGGUAAGGGCUAGGGCCAUUCCCCCCUGCAAGUGCCUUGGUGGAAGAGUGGGGUAACAUCUCACAGCAAAAACUGGCAAAUCUGGUACAGUCCACGAGGAAGAGAUGCACUGCAGUACUUAAUGCAACUGGUGGCCACACCAGAUACAGACUCUUACUUUUUAUUUUGACCCCCCCUUUGUUCAGGGACACAUUAUUCCAUUUCUGUUGGUCACAUGUCUGUGAAACUUGUUCAGUUUAUGUCUUAGCUGUUGAAUCUUUUUAUGUUCAUACAAAUAUUUACACAUUACAUUUUCAAAAAAAAGAAAAAAAAGUGAAAGUGAGAGGAUGUUUAUUUUUUGCUGAGUUUAUAUGUAAAAGGCUGCAACUGAAAGUAGAGUUCCACUAUGAUUAACCAUUUUAGCUACAUUGCCAUUGUCCAUGGUGUUGC